rnacentral:lncRNA from 1 species
GGAGGGAACCCAGGUCUUGAAAGGCACUGUGGUUGGGCAUCCCAGCCCCUUCUCUGGGUUUCAGUUGUCUCUUCUAUCAAGGACUUGGACAGCUGCCUUUGCCAAUCAAUAUGGACUUCUUUUGGUCCUUCCAUUGGGCAUUUAUUGUCACAACUUAAGUCUGACUGGGAUUGGUCUGGUCAUCUGAUUGGAGAUGAGAGAAAGAUACUCUCCCACUGGGAGCCCACACCAGCCAGAAGUUUUGAGACUUAUUACCCAGUCCUAUCUCUGAAAGAAAGAGAAAACAGGAAUAAGAGCAAGCAAUGCUUUCCAGUCCCAGCUACAGUUACUUUUAUUUGUUGCUGCUGUGUUCCCUGGAGUGGGAUUUUAGAGAAGAAAAGAGCUAACCUGGGGGUUAUGGUGAUGGCUCAGUGGGUAAGGGCAUUUUCUGUGUAAGCAUGAGGCCCUGAGUUCAAAUCUCCUAUGUCCAUGUAUUAAAAAAAAAAAAAGUCAGGUGUGCAUGUGUAUAACCCUAGCACUAUGUGGGGCAGGAGGAUUCCUGGGGCUUGUUGGUUCCCAGCCUAGCCGGUUCAGUGACUUUGUCUCAAGAGCAGAGACCAAUAAAGUAGCAUAUUGGCCUCCAAA